rnacentral:lncRNA from 1 species
CUAGAAUGGAGGGAUAGCAACAUAACCAUAAUGGAUACAUUGUCAGUCAUUGGAGCCACCGCAAACCCUGAUGGAAAACGAAGAGAGUAUAGAGAAACCCAAUGGGAUAAACCUUUGUUACCAGCAUCACAAGAAGAGAACUUCAAAGCCAUGGAAUCUGGAAAUAAAGUUGUUGAAUGAUGUGACAGAAGAGGAAGGAGGCAUGUACAACCGAUAAACCAACAAACCACACAAUAUAGGUACACCUUUGCCUUAAUUUAUAACCCCAUAUUUUUCCUGGGCUCCUUGCCUCUGAAAAUC